rnacentral:lncRNA from 1 species
CAUGUUGAUCAUAUCAACAUGUUUCUAUACUACAUCUAAUGUAUGUAUUAAACAAUAGAUCAGAUCUAUUACCUUGCAAGUUAGACGUUCUAACCUUGCUGAUCUGGGCUUGAGGAUGAUGUUGCAAGCCGCACACGCAUCCGGCCUCUAGGAGUCAUCCACNNNNNNNNNNNNNNNNNNNNCUCCGUUGUUGUGAUGAAGUUCUUAGGACUAUUUAAGUUCAAUAAAGAGAAGAUUUAUCGAUUAGUCAUUAAAACUGUUCACGACCAAAUGAUGGGUUGUUAAUAAGGAUGACAGCUUCUAUCGAGCAUAGGUCGCUGUAGGCCAUAUGGGUUGGUUGUCCUCUUAACCAAGAAGUGUGGAGAUACUUGAAGGAACCAGAUCUAGGGUUUCAGGAUUAGAUCUUGAAAAAGAGGGUUAGAUCUUGAAACUUUUUCAAGAUCAUACAGCGGAAGACUAAAAUAAAUCAAAAUUUAUUUUUUAAGAUCAGAAAAUCCCUAGAUCUAAGAUCCUAUUACAUGAUUAUUACAUGGCAUUAAAUUAAAAAUUAAAAUAUAUAAAUAUAGCAUGAACUACAUGUUGAUCAUAUCAACAUGUUUCUAUACUACAUCUAAUGUAUGUAUUAAACAAUAGAUCAGAUCUAUUACCUUGCAAGUUAGACAUUCUAACCUUGCUGAUCUGGGCUUGAGGAUGAUGUUGCAAGCCGCACACGCGUCUGGCCUCUAGGAGUCGUCCACACGAGCCGACGAAUCUCGAUCAGAAGUCCUGCUUCAGAAAAUCAGCACAGUAUGCUAGUACUGCACUGAUCCUUCUUUGAUGGUUGAUCAGGUGCCUCCUUCUUCUUGAUUUGGACUCUUCCAAAGAUGGAAAGUAGAAGGAGGAGUUUCAGAUCUGAGACACUCUCAGGAAACUCAAGAUGGAGGGAGGAAAGAUGUGAAAACAAAAACUCAAGAAGAAGACCCUCUUCUUCUUCACGUUUUUCUCUCUAGACACCUAAAUUUGCAUCUUUUAUAUAUCCAUGACCCAA